GACGAACGCUGGCGGCGUGCUUAACACAUGCAAGUCGAACGAUGAACCCGGAGCUUGCUCCGGUGGAUUAGUGGCGAACGAGUGAGUAACACGUGAGUAACCUGCCCUUGACUCUGGGAUAACUGCGGGAAACUGUAGCUAAUACCGGAUACGACCCUCGGCGGCAUCGCCAGGGGGUGGAAAGAAUUUCGGUCAAGGAUGGACUCGCGGCCUAUCAGCUAGUUGGUGAGGUAACGGCUCACCAAGGCGACGACGGGGAGCCGGCCUGAGAGGGUGACCGGCCACACUGGGACUGAGACACGGCCCAGACUCCUACGGGAGGCAGCAGUGGGGAAUAUUGCACAAUGGGCGCAAGCCUGAUGCAGCAACGCCGCGUGAGGGAUGACGGCCUUCGGGUUGUAAACCUCUUUUAGUAGGGAAGAAGCGAAAGUGACGGUACCCGCAGAAAAAGCACCGGCUAACUACGUGCCAGCCGCCGCGGUAA
rnacentral:rRNA from 1 species